AGUAGAAUGGCUGAGUGUAGGUGAAAGAUUGUAAAUCUUUUAAGGGGUAGAAUAACUCUUCUACUA
rnacentral:tRNA from 1 species